GAUGAACGCUGGCGGCGUGCCUAAUACAUGCAAGUCGAGCGAACAGACGAGGAGCUUGCUCCUCUGACGUUAGCGGCGGACGGGUGAGUAACACGUGGAUAACCUACCUAUAAGACUGGGAUAACUUCGGGAAACCGGAGCUAAUACCGGAUAAUAUAUUGAACCGCAUGGUUCAAUAGUGAAAGACGGUUUUGCUGUCACUUAUAGAUGGAUCCGCGCCGCAUUAGCUAGUUGGUAAGGUAACGGCUUACCAAGGCGACGAUGCGUAGCCGACCUGAGAGGGUGAUCGGCCACACUGGAACUGAGACACGGUCCAGACGCCUACGGGAGGCAGCAGUAGGGAAUCUUACGCAGUGGGCGAAAGCCUGACGGAGCAACGCCGAGUGAGUGAUGAAGGUCUUCGGAUCGUAAAGCUCUGUUAUUAGGGAAGAACAAAUGUGUAAGUAGACAUGCACGUCUUGACGGUACCUAAUCAGAAAGCCACGGCUAACUACGUG
rnacentral:rRNA from 1 species